UACAGAGGGGGCAAGCGUUGUUCGGAAUUACUGGGCGUAAAGGGCUCGUAGGCGGCCAACUAAGUCGGACGUGAAAUCCCUCGGCUUAACCGGGGAACUGCGUCCGAUACUGGAUGGCUCGAGUUUGGGAGAGGGAUGCGGAAUUCCAGGUGUAGCGGUGAAAUGCGUAGAUAUCUGGAGGAACACCGGUGGCGAAGGCGGCAUCCUGGACCAACACUGACGCUGAUGAGCGAAAGCCAGGGGAGCAAACGGG
rnacentral:rRNA from 1 species